rnacentral:rRNA from 1 species
GGGGGGAACCCUGAUCCAGCCAUGCCGCGUGUGUGAAGAAGGCCUUUUGGUUGUAAAGCACUUUAAGCGAGGAGGAGGCUACUCUAGUUAAUACCUAGGGAUAGUGGACGUUACUCGCAGAAUAAGCACCGGCUAACUCUGUGCCAGCAGCCGCGGUAAUACAGAGGGUGCGAGCGUUAAUCGGAUUUACUGGGCGUAAAGCGUGCGUAGGCGGCUUUUUAAGUCGGAUGUGAAAUCCCUGAGCUUAACUUAGGAAUUGCAUUCGAUACUGGGAAGCUAGAGUAUGGGAGAGGAUGGUAGAAUUCCAGGUGUAGCGGUGAAAUGCGUAGAGAUCUGGAGGAAUACCGAUGGCGAAGGCAGCCAUCUGGCCUAAUACUGACGCUGAGGUACGAAAGCAUGGGGAGCAAACAGGAUUAGAUACCCUGGUAGUCCAUGCCGUAAACGAUGUCUACUAGCCGUUGGGGCCUUUGAGGCUUUAGUGGCGCAGCUAACGCGAUAAGUAGACCGCCUGGGGA